rnacentral:tRNA from 1 species
UUUUAAUUUGGUAGUAGAGUAUGUCAUGGUAAGACGUAAGUCAUCGGUUCGAAUCCGAUAAAG